rnacentral:rRNA from 1 species
UUUAUGGAGAGUUUGAUCCUGGCUCAGGAUGAACGCUGGCGGCGUGCCUAAUACAUGCAAGUCGAGCGAACGGACGAGAAGCUUGCUUCUCUGAUGUUAGCGGCGGACGGGUGAGCAACACGUGGAUAACCUACCUAUAAGACUGGGAUAACUUCGGGAAACCGGAGCUAAUACCGGAUAAUAUUUUGAACCGCAUGGUUCAAAAGUGAAAGACGGUCUUGCUGUCACUUAUAGAUGGAUCCGCGCUGCAUUAGCUAGUUGGUAAGGUAACGGCUUACCAAGGCAACGAUGCAUAGCCGACCUGAGAGGGUGAUCGGCCACACUGGAACUGAGACACGGUCCAGACUCCUACGGGAGGCAGCAGUAGGGAAUCUUCCGCAAUGGGCGAAAGCCUGACGGAGCAACGCCGCGUGAGUGAUGAAGGUCUUCGGAUCGUAAAACUCUGUUAUUAGGGAAGAACAUAUGUGUAAGUAACUGUGCACAUCUUGACGGUACCUAAUCAGAAAGCCACGGCUAACUACGUGCCAGCAGCCGCGGUAAUACGUAGGUGGCAAGCGUUAUCCGGAAUUAUUGGGCGUAAAGCGCGCGUAGGCGGUUUUUUAAGUCUGAUGUGAAAGCCCACGGCUCAACCGUGGAGGGUCAUUGGAAACUGGAAAACUUGAGUGCAGAAGAGGAAAGUGGAAUUCCAUGUGUAGCGGUGAAAUGCGCAGAGAUAUGGAGGAACACCAGUGGCGAAGGCGACUUUCUGGUCUGUAACUGACGCUGAUGUGCGAAAGCGUGGGGAUCAAACAGGAUUAGAUACCCUGGUAGUCCACGCCGUAAACGAUGAGUGCUAAGUGUUAGGGGGUUUCCGCCCCUUAGUGCUGCAGCUAACGCAUUAAGCACUCCGCCUGGGGAGUACGACCGCAAGGUUGAAACUCAAAGGAAUUGACGGGGACCCGCACAAGCGGUGGAGCAUGUGGUUUAAUUCGAAGCAACGCGAAGAACCUUACCAAAUCUUGACAUCCUUUGACAACUCUAGAGAUAGAGCCUUCCCCUUCGGGGGACAAAGUGACAGGUGGUGCAUGGUUGUCGUCAGCUCGUGUCGUGAGAUGUUGGGUUAAGUCCCGCAACGAGCGCAACCCUUAAGCUUAGUUGCCAUCAUUAAGUUGGGCACUCUAAGUUGACUGCCGGUGACAAACCGGAGGAAGGUGGGGAUGACGUCAAAUCAUCAUGCCCCUUAUGAUUUGGGCUACACACGUGCUACAAUGGACAAUACAAAGGGCAGCGAAACCGCGAGGUCAAGCAAAUCCCAUAAAGUUGUUCUCAGUUCGGAUUGUAGUCUGCAACUCGACUACAUGAAGCUGGAAUCGCUAGUAAUCGUAGAUCAGCAUGCUACGGUGAAUACGUUCCCGGGUCUUGUACACACCGCCCGUCACACCACGAGAGUUUGUAACACCCGAAGCCGGUGGAGUAACCUUUUAGGAGCUAGCCGUCGAAGGUGGGACAAAUGAUUGGGGUGAAGUCGUAACAAGGUAGCCGUAUCGGAAGGUGCGGCUGGAUCACCUCCUUUCU